UACGGAGGGUGCAAGCGUUAUCCGGAUUCACUGGGUUUAAAGGGCGCGUAGGCGGUUCGAUAAGUCCCGUGUGAAAUCCCUCGGCUCAACUGAGGAAUGGCACGGGAAACUGACGGGCUUGAGUUCGGGAGAGGGAAGCGGAAUUCCGGGUGUAGCGGUGAAAUGCGUAGAUAUCCGGAGGAACACCGGUGGCGAAGGCGGCUUCCUGGACCGACACUGACGCUGAGGCGCGAAAGCUAGGGGAGCAAACAGG
rnacentral:rRNA from 1 species